rnacentral:rRNA from 1 species
AUUGAACGCUGGCGGCAGGCCUAACACAUGCAAGUCGAACGAGUGGCGGACGGGUGAGUAAUUUCUGGGAAACUCCCUGAUGGAGGGGGAUAACUACUGGAAGCGGUAGCUUAUACCGCAUACCAUCGGAUGUGCCCAUAUGGGAUUAGCUAGUCGGUGGGGUAAAGGCUCACCUAGGCGACGAUCCCUAGCUGGUCUGAGAGGAUGACCGGCCACACUGGAACUGAGACACGGUCCAGACUCCUACGGGAGGCAGCAGUGGGUAAUAUUGCACGAGGGGGGACAGCUUGAUGCAGCCAGGCCGCGGGUAUGAAGAAGGCCUUCGGGUUGUAAAGUACUUUCAGCGGGGAGGCGUUACCCGCAGAAGAAGCACAGGCUAACUCCGUGCCAGCCGCCGCGGUAAUAC